AGGACGAACGCUGGCGGCGUGCUUAACACAUGCAAGUCGAGCGGAAAGGCCCUUCGGGGUACUCGAGCGGCGAACGGGUGAGUAACACGUGAGCAACCUGCCCUUAGCUCCGGGAUAGCUCCGGGAAACCGGAAUUAAUACCGGAUACGACCACGGCCGACAUCUGCUGUGGUGGAAAGGAUUCCGGCUAAGGAUGGGCUCGCGGCCUAUCAGCUAGUUGGUGGAGUAACGGCCCACCAAGGCGAUGACGGGUA
rnacentral:rRNA from 1 species